rnacentral:rRNA from 1 species
UACGUAGGUGGCAAGCGUUGUCCGGAUUUACUGGGCGUAAAGAGCGCGCAGGCGGUCGUUUAAGUCGAAUGUGAAAGCCCCCGGCUCAACUGGGGAGGGUCAUUCGAUACUGAUCGACUUGAAGGCAGGAGAGAGAAGUGGAAUUCCCGGUGUAGUGGUGAAAUGCGUAGAUAUCGGGAGGAACACCAGUGGCGAAGGCGACUUCUUGGCCUGUUCUUGACGCUGAGGCGCGAAAGCGGGGGGAGCAAACGGG